rnacentral:rRNA from 1 species
AACGAACGCUGGCGGCAUGCCUAACACAUGCAAGUCGAACGAGACCUUCGGGUCUAUUGGCGCACGGGUGCGUAACGCGUGGGAACCUGCCUUUAGGUUCGGAAUAACUCAGAGAAAUUUGAGCUAAUACCGGAUGAUGUCUUCUGACCAAAGAUUUAUCGCCUUUAGAUGGGCCCGCGUUGGAUUAGCUAGUUGGUGGGGUAAAGGCCUACCAAGGCGACGAUCCAUAGCUGGUCUGAGAGGAUGAUCAGCCACACUGGGACUGAGACACGGCCCAGACUCCUACGGGAGGCAGCAGUGGGGAAUAUUGGACAAUGGGCGAAAGCCUGAUCCAGCAAUGCCGCGUGAGUGAUGAAGGCCUUAGGGUUGUAAAGCUCUUUUAACCGAGAUGAUAAUGACAGUAUCGGGAGAAUAAGCCCCGGCUAACUCCGUG